rnacentral:lncRNA from 1 species
UGGAAUUCGACAAAAAGCAUACGGCAUAAUCCAAAUAGAACGUUGAUUUCGAUUAAGUUGUUUGUUUUCUCGUCAAACUACCUGUUAAAAAAAAAAGAAAAAUAAGUGCUUCCCUUUUCAAAACUUAGUUUUGGGGGUUUUUCUGAUUCCAAGUGUUUGCGAAUCUGAUUCCGUUUUAUCCAAAAAUCGAUUAAUUAUGUGGAAAACUAAUAUUUUAUCCUGAAUUAGGUCAUGAUUUUGGUUGUUAAAGGUUAAGUUUUAUUGAAUUCCAAGUCAAAAUUCUAAGCCGAUUUUUUUAGCAAAAAGUUGGGCUUAAAUUGUCGAGCUUAAUUAAUCAAUUAAAACUAGAUAUAUUAUCAAUAGAUGGCUACACUGUUUAGUGGAUCGUCUGCAGUAGAAAUUUAUGGUUCAUCCACGUGCUUGAACUUAUACAUCCAGUGGGCUAUGGUGAAAUUCCACCAUUUUAGUUGUCGUCACAGUUAAGACUUAAGAGCAAGGGUUUUCAUUCUAGAAAUUCCUAGUACUUUUGAAAACCCUAUGGUUUUUUCAAUGUCUGAAAAAGCAAAUUCGUAUCAAAUUAUGGUAUAAUUCUGAAGUCUGUUGAAAUUAUUCUUGUUGGAACUAAAGUGUAGUUUGAUUGGUUGUUAUGACAAUGUCAAAGACUUCCACCAUGGUAGUAAAAUGUGGGCUACACUCAUUUUAUUAAAUUUCAUCUCAACAAUGAAAGUUUUUCUCAGCUGAUCUCACAUGUUGUAGCUUCAAUGCACAAGUCUGCUUGUAUGAAAGCACCAUAAACACCAAUAGUCUAACCAAAACUUCAAAUCUAACAGCUCAUGAAUCAGUUAGACUUGACCAUAUGUUUCAUACCAUACUGGUUGCAGUUGGAAUAUCUUGAAAUAAAUUGCAUCCAAUCAUUUGAAAGGUUUUUCAACCCUGAUCUGGCAACGUUAUAGCGAUAAUGAUUCUUACCUCUUUCCUUUAUCCCGUUGUCUCUGUGGUUGUAGGUACACUCGCUUCCAUAAAUAUGUAGGCCACCGCCCGCGGGUUGUACCGCUUCAAAUAUACCUUUACGGAAUGUUUACUUAAGCUUGUGAAAGGAAGAAAAUAAACUUGAGGGAUGGGUCAGCAAAA